rnacentral:hammerhead_ribozyme from 1 species
AUCCAACUGACGAGUUCCAAACAGGAUGAAACGCACAUCUUGAAU